GGAGAGGUGGCCGAGUGGUCGAAGGCGGCACGGUGCUAACGUGUUAGGCGGGUAAAACUGUCUCGAGGGUUCGAAUCCCUCCCUCUCCG
rnacentral:tRNA from 1 species